rnacentral:rRNA from 1 species
AUUGAACGCUGGCGGCAUGCCUUACACAUGCAAGUCGAACGGUAACGCGGGGCAACCUGGCGACGAGUGGCGAACGGGUGAGUAAUGCAUCGGAACGUGCCCAGUAGUGGGGGAUAGCCCGGCGAAAGCCGGAUUAAUACCGCAUACGACCUACGGGUGAAAGGGGGGGAUCGCAAGACCUCUCGCUAUUGGAGCGGCCGAUGUCAGAUUAGGUAGUUGGUGGGGUAAAGGCCUACCAAGCCGACGAUCUGUAGCUGGUCUGAGAAGACGACCAGCCACACUGGGACUGAGACACGGCCCAGACUCCUACGGGAGGCAGCAGUGGGGAAUUUUGGACAAUGGGCGCAAGCCUGAUCCAGCCAUGCCGCGUGCGGGAAGAAGGCCUUCGGGUUGUAAACCGCUUUUGUCAGGGAAGAAAUCUUCUGGGUUAAUACCUCGGGAGGAUGACGGUACCUGAAGAAUAAGCACCGGCUAACUACGUGCCAGCCGCCGCGGUAAAAC